GGGGGCGAAUUGGCUUCGACCGGGCAAGUUGACGGAUAGGUGGCGUGCCGAGGUUGCUAGGAGGCCUCGUUAAACACCUGGCACACUUUUAUAUGCCAACUCACAGUUGAGCAUGGCUGCCUAAAACAGGCUGCCCGUCGAACCGCUGACACCUGCUGGGCGGGGAGACGUCACUUAGCAGGCUGGUCAACCAAACGCCGCCCGGCCGCAGGUUGAUGAGACACUUGUCGGGCUGGACUCGUGCGGAGCCUGUCGGCCGGCGACGAACGAAUCGACAACAAACGACCGACUAUGCACGUAGAGGCCUAUCCUGAAGUGCUUCGGGACGUGGGUUCGAUUCCCACCGCCUCCA
rnacentral:tmRNA from 1 species